rnacentral:rRNA from 1 species
GAUCUUGGUUCGGGAUGAACGCUAGCGACAGGCUUAACACAUGCAAGGUCGAGGGGCAGCAUGGGAGUGGCAACACCCCCGAUGGCGACCGGCGCACUGGUGAGUAACACGUAUGCAACCUGCCCCCUACAGGGGAAUAACCCAGAGAAAUUUGGCCUAAUGCCCCGUAGUCCGCCCCAGGGCAUCCUGGGACGGGGAAAGCUCCGGCGGUAGGGGAUGGGCAUGCGGCGCAUUAGCUAGUUGGCGGGGUGACGGCCCACCAAGGCGACGAUGCGUAGGGGUUCUGAGAGGAAGGUCCCCCACACUGGUACUGAGACACGGACCAGACUCCUACGGGAGGCAGCAGUGAGGAAUAUUGGUCAAUGGGCGCAGGCCUGAACCAGCCCAAGUCGCGUGCGGGAAGACGGCCCUACGGGUUGUAAACCGCUUUAGCCGGGGAGUAACGGGCGCCACGCGUGGCGCCGUGAGAGUACCCGGAGAAUAAGCAUCGGCUAACUCCGUGCCAGCCGCCGC